rnacentral:misc_RNA from 1 species
AGCAGCCGCGGUAAUUCCAGCUCCAAUAGCGUAUAUUAAAGUUGUUGCAGUUAAAAAGCUCGUAGUUGAACUUCAGGCCUGUCCAGACGGUCCGCCUUAAUUGGUGUGUACUGUCCUUGGGUGGGUCCUACCUUCUGGCGAAGCGGCAUGGCCUUAAUUGGUUGUGUCGGGGAACCAGGACUUUUACUGUGAAAAAAUUAGAGUGUUCAAAGCAGGCAAAUAUGCUCGAAUACAUUAGCAUGGAAUAAUGGAAUAGGACGAUGGUUCUAUUUUGUUGGUUCUAGGACCGUUGUAAUGAUUAAUAGGGAUAGUUGGGGGCAUUAGUAUUCAAUUGUCAGAGGUGAAAUUCUUGGAUUUAUUGAAGACUAACUACUGCGAAAGCAUUUGCCAAGGAUGUUUUCAUUAAUCAAGAACGAAAGUUAGGGGAUCGAAGACGAUCAGAUACCGUCGUAGUCUUAACCAUAAACUAUGCCGACUAGGAAUCGGGCGAUGUUGAC